rnacentral:rRNA from 1 species
AGUCAAUAGAUACCCCGGUAGUCCACGCCCUAAACGAUGCGAACUGGAUGUUGGGUGCAACUAGGCACUCAGUAUCGAAAGCUAACGCGUUAAGUUCGCCGCCUGGGGAGUACGGUCGCAAGACUGAAACUCAAAGGAAUUGACGGGGGCCGCACAAGCGGUGGAGUAUGUGGUUUAAUUCGAUGCAACGCGCAGAACCUUACCUGGCCUUGACAUCCACGGAACUUUCCAGAGAUGGAUUGGUGCCUUCGGAACCGUGAGACAGGUGCUGCAUGGCUGUCGUCAGCUCGUGUCGUGAGAUGUUGGGUUAAGUCCCGCAACGAGCGCAACCCUUGUCCUUAGUUGCCAGCACGUAAUGGUGGGAACUCUAAGGAGACCGCCGGCGACAAGCCGGA